rnacentral:rRNA from 1 species
UACAGGGGGGGCAAGCGUUGUUCGGAAUUACUGGGCGUAAAGGGCUUGUAGGUGGCCAACUAAGUCCGACGUGAAAUCCCUAGGCUUAACCUAGGAACUGCGUCGGAUACUGGAUGGCUUGAAUCCGGGAGAGGGAUGCGGAAUUCCAGGUGUAGCGGUGAAAUGCGUAGAUAUCUGGAGGAACACCGGUGGCGAAGGCGGCAUCCUGGACCAACACUGACGCUGAGGAGCGAAAGCCAGGGGAGCAAACGGG